UUGUUCUCCAUUGUUCUUCGAUUGUUCCUGUUCUUCAUGCACUUGCAGGUGGGUUUUCUCGAUCCAUUGCCAUUCUUCUUUUUGAUCUAUUUUUUAUCUUUUUAUCUUCGUGGUCUGUCUUCUGACCUCAUUUUCUCUCUUUUUUCAAUCUCCUUAGUGUUAUACAUAUUUUUUUUUGUAUCCUUCAAUGGCCGACUCAGGGAGUUCCUUAAGAGGCUAGUCCUCUGAAUCUUCCGCUUCUUUGGGAGGAGGUUCUGCAAGGCAGGGUGUCGGGCAUGAGGUCGGAUCGUCCUUCAUGCCCGGCACCAUUGAGUCCAUGCUGGACUUAGAUGACUUGAGUCUAAUCUGAGCUCAAUAUGGAAUUUCUUCUAUAUUUGAGUUGGAACUUCAGGGGGCCAA
rnacentral:lncRNA from 1 species